rnacentral:rRNA from 1 species
GACGAACGCUGGCGGCGUGCCUAUACAUUCAAGUUGAGCGGCGAAGGGUGGUACUUGUUCCAACUGGAUGAGCCGCCAAAGGGUGAAUUACCCGUGGGGAAACUGCCUUUUAGCGGGGGACCACAUUUGGAAAAGAAUGCUAAUAACCCAUUAAAACUUUAAACACAAGUUUUAAGUUUGAAAGAUGCCAUUUCAUCACCCAAAGAAUAUUCCGCGUUGUAUUAGCUUGUUGGUGAGGUAAAGGCCCAACCAGGCGAUGAUACAUAACCGUCCUGAGAGGGUGAUCGGCCACAUUGGGACUGAGACACGGCCCAAAAUCCUACGGGAGGCAGCAGUAGGGGAUCUUCGGCAAUGGACGAAAGUCUGACCGAGCAACGCCGCGUGAGUGAAGAAGGUUUUCGGAUCGUAAAACUCUGUUGGUAGAGAAGAACGUUGGUGAGAGUGGAAAGCUCAUCAAGUGACGGUAACUACCCAGAAAGGGACGGCUAACUACGUG